rnacentral:rRNA from 1 species
GAGUGAUCGAAAGAUGAAAAGCACUUUGAAAAGAGAGUUAAACAGCACGUGAAAUUGUUGAAAGGGAAGCGUUUGCGACCAGACUCGCCCGCGGGGUUCAGCCGGCACUCGUGCCGGUGUACUUCCCCGUGGGCGGGCCAGCGUCGGUUUGGGCGGCCGGUCAAAGGCCCUCGGAAUGUAUCACUCUCGGGGUGUCUUAUAGCCGAGGGUGCAAUGCGGCCUGCCCGGACCGAGGAACGCGYUCGGY